CACGUAGGGGGCAAGCGUUGUCCGGAAUUAUUGGGCGUAAAGAGCUCGUAGGCGGCUCGGUAAGUCAGGUGUCAAAUCCUCAGGCUCAACCUGGGGCUCCACCUGAUACUGCUGUGGCUAGAGUCCGGUAGGGGAGCGUGGAAUUCCUGGUGUAGCGGUGAAAUGCGCAGAUAUCAGGAGGAACACCGGUGGCGAAGGCGGGUCUCUGGGCCGAUACUGACGCUGGAGGAGCGAAAGCGUGGGGAGCGAAACA
rnacentral:rRNA from 1 species